AGAGUUUGAUCAUGGCUCAGAUUGAACGCUGGCGGCAGGCCUAACACAUGCAAGUCGAACGGUAACAGGAAGCAGCUUGCUGCUUCGCUGACGAGUGGCGGACGGGUGAGUAAUGUCUGGGAAGCUGCCUGAUGGAGGGGGAUAACUACUGGAAACGGUAGCUAAUACCGCAUAAUGUCGCAAGACCAAAGAGGGGGACCUUCGGGCCUCUUGCCAUCGGAUGUGCCCAGAUGGGAUUAGCUUGUUGGUGGGGUAACGGCUCACCAAGGCGACGAUCCCUAGCUGGUCUGAGAGGAUGACCAGCCACACUGGAACUGAGACACGGUCCAGACUCCUACGGGAGGCAGCAGUGGGGAAUAUUGCACAAUGGGCGCAAGCCUGAUGCAGCCAUGCCGCGUGUAUGAAGAAGGCCUUCGGGUUGUAAAGUACUUUCAGCGGGGAGGAAGGGAGUAAAGUUAAUACCUUUGCUCAUUGACGUUACCCGCAGAAGAAGCACCGGCUAACUCCGUGCCAGCAGCCGCGGUAAUACGGAGGGUGCAAGCGUUAAUCGGAAUUACUGGGCGUAAAGCGCACGCAGGCGGUUUGUUAAGUCAGAUGUGAAAUCCCCGGGCUCAACCUGGGAACUGCAUCUGAUACUGGCAAGCUUGAGUCUCGUAGAGGGGGGUAGAAUUCCAGGUGUAGCGGUGAAAUGCGUAGAGAUCUGGAGGAAUACCGGUGGCGAAGGCGGCCCCCUGGACGAAGACUGACACUCAGGUGCGAAAGCGUGGGGAGCAAACAGGAUUAGAUACCCUGGUAGUCCACGCCGUAAACGAUGUCGACUUGGAGGUUGUGCCCUUGAGGCGUGGCUUCCGGAGCUAACGCGUUAAGUCGACCGCCUGGGGAGUACGGCCGCAAGGUUAAAACUCAAAUGAAUUGACGGGGGCCCGCACAAGCGGUGGAGCAUGUGGUUUAAUUCGAUGCAACGCGAAGAACCUUACCUGGUCUUGACAUCCACGGAAGUUUUCAGAGAUGAGAAUGUGCCUUCGGGAACCGUGAGACAGGUGCUGCAUGGCUGUCGUCAGCUCGUGUUGUGAAAUGUUGGGUUAAGUCCCGCAACGAGCGCAACCCUUAUCCUUUGUUGCCAGCGGUCCGGCCGGGAACUCAAAGGAGACUGCCAGUGAUAAACUGGAGGAAGGUGGGGAUGACGUCAAGUCAUCAUGGCCCUUACGACCAGGGCUACACACGUGCUACAAUGGCGCAUACAAAGAGAAGCGACCUCGCGAGAGCAAGCGGACCUCAUAAAGUGCGUCGUAGUCCGGAUUGGAGUCUGCAACUCGACUCCAUGAAGUCGGAAUCGCUAGUAAUCGUGGAUCAGAAUGCCACGGUGAAUACGUUCCCGGGCCUUGUACACACCGCCCGUCACACCAUGGGAGUGGGUUGCAAAAGAAGUAGGUAGCUUAACCUUCGGGAGGGCGCUUACCACUUUGUGAUUCAUGACUGGGGUGAAGUCGAAACAAGGUAACCGUAGGGGAACCUGCGGUUG
rnacentral:rRNA from 1 species